rnacentral:rRNA from 1 species
UUGGAGGGCAAGUCUGGUGCCAGCAGUCGUGGUAAUUUCAGCUCCAAUAGCGUAUAUUAAAGUUGCUGCAGUUAAAAAGCUUGUAGUUGAAUUUUGGGACCAAUAUGUUGGUUGUGCCUCGGUACGUACUGGCAUUAUUGGUUUCUUCCUUCUGAAGAACCUUGAUGUCAUUAAUUUGGUGUCUUGGGGAAUCAGGACUGUUACUUUGAAAAAAUUAGAGUGUUUAAAGCAGGCUCGCGCUUGAAUACAUUAGCAUGGAAUAAUGAAAUAGGACGUUUGAUUCUAUUUUGUUGGUUUCUAGGAUCGAUGUAAUGAUUAAUAGGGAUAGUUGGG